AUGGUGGCCUUAGCACACAGCAGCUGGGCCACCUACUGUAUGUGAGGGACAUUACGUUGUGGUCACACUAACAGGUACGGUCACAACAUUUGUCUGAUGUUCAUAACAGCUCUGUUCUCCGUAAGCUGUUUGCUGCCGUCGUAGUAGCACCUACACUCCACAGUCGUGGCAGGCAUA